CUCGACCACACAUGUCCUGCCCCUAGAAGGCAGAGGAAUAUAGACCUUAGGAGCUUCGUGGGAAGUCCUCACUUGUCGAGAACGAAAGCAUUCGUCGUUGGUUAAACUCGACAAGUAACGGAUCGAGACUCGCCGAGGCGACUACUAACAGGACACGGAACGUGACGAACGAUAUUACUUUGUUUGUUCUAGAAGAUUUUGGAUAGCAAGUGUGUUUCAUUUCAGGGUCAUAGUAAAGGAUAUGACGAACUUCUAUCCUUGUUCCAGAAGUUCGGAGUUUAUACGGAAUCAAUAGUGCUGCAGUAGUUGAGUUCUAGUAAGUUGUAACGGUGUGUCAAACGGUUUUGAUUGUAAAACAUAUACUCUGAUAUUUGUAAAAAGUUUUAAAACUGUGCUUUUAAACCGUUUGUUAAAGGUGGAACGGGCUGUGCUGGAUGUAAGACAUCGCAAUAUAAGACCCAGGUUCCUAUGUAAUGUUUUCAGGUUUUGAACUAGACGUUUGUAUACGUCAAGAA